GCUUUCACAGCUCAUAUACCAACUGGGAUGAUGCAGAGAAGAUUAGCAUGGCCUCUGAGCAAGGAUGACGUGCAGAUUUGUAAAGCGCCUCAUCUAUUC
ensembl:snRNA U6 U6 spliceosomal RNA